rnacentral:tRNA from 1 species
CCGGGAUAGCUCAGWUGGUAGAGCAGAGGACAUGAAAAUCCUCGUGUC